UUAUUCAUCCUUUCUAAAUCCUGAAAAUAUAUGUUUAUUGUUAAAUAUUGAACCAUGCAUGUGAAAUUUAGACAGAAAUUGUGUUUUAGUCAUGCAAAAAUGGGUUUGUUUAUUAUUAUUAUUAUUGCAUAUUUUAUCAAACAAAUGCUCCCCUUUUUUCCAACUGCUGAUACACCUGAUAGUAUUGUCAUCAACAGUUUUCAGCGCAACUCCCCUCCUGCUGUCACCAGCGGUGAGCCAAGUUAUAGGUGUUUGCACACUUGGUCACCUGAGUUCUUCUGAUAGAUGACAUCUAUCUCAAGUUGAGACAAUCAAAAUAACGGCCAGUAUAUGUAUCUGUACCCAAUUUUACCUUGGUUGAUUUUCCAUGGGCAGCUGAAUUAUUGUUGUGAGUGCAAAUGUUGGCAUUACCGUUUUGCAAUGAGGUUAUCUUCCUUUCAUCACUAAAAUACUCAUAGUCAAGAUUUCCUUUGGUUGCAUACCAGCAAAAUGCAGCUUUUGGUUUUGACCAAAGCUUUUUCGAUAGCUACUGCAGUUUGAGAGUAUCCAAGCAAUUCUAUAUAUCAAGGGCUGUUGGUACAUGAGAUGGGUUAUUAGAAGCAUGGUAGACGGAAGUUGGCCAGACCCUUCAGGAAGCAACACAAACAAUGGAACUCGUCUUGUUAGAGCAAUCCAGAAUUUCCAAAUCAAAUUAAAUUCCAAGCUCCAAGAGCUGAGGAAAGGCCUAGUAAUGAAGGUUCUUUUCUUCUUACUAGGUUUUUAUUGUGCGGCCGCAUUUGCAACAGUUAUAGGGCAAACAGGUGACUGGGACAUUCUCUUUGCUGGCAUUGCUGUCGUUGUGGUCAAGGCCAUUGGUGCUCUCAUGUACAGAGCUUCUUUCCAUAUACUGGACAAACUCAAAAGCCUCAUCGCAUUUUUCAACUAUUGGAAGGCAGAUCUUUCCCUGGGGUUGUUCUUAGAUGCGUUCAAGUACAUCUUCCAGCCCAUUUCAAAUCCAAUUUGAAUUGCUUGAGGAAGAUGAGCAGAUAAUGGACUUCAUUACGAAUGGCUGCAAAUUUUUGCUUGACAUCUCUUCAUCAGCCAAUUCUGGGUUGCACGUUUUUUAUUUCUUGGCCAAUUCUAUAUUGAAUGAAGUUCUUUUGUCAAUUCAAAAAGGG